rnacentral:rRNA from 1 species
AACGAACGCUGGCGGCAUGCCUAACACAUGCAAGUCGAACGAGAUCUUCGGGUCUAGUGGCGCACGGGUGCGUAACGCGUGGGAAUCUGCCCUUUGGUUCGGAAUAACAGUUGGAAACGACUGCUAAUACCGGAUGAUGACGAAAGUCCAAAGAUUUAUCGCCAGAGGAUGAGCCCGCGUAGGAUUAGCUAGUUGGUGUGGUAAAGGCGCACCAAGGCGACGAUCCUUAGCUGGUCUGAGAGGAUGAUCAGCCACACUGGGACUGAGACACGGCCCAGACUCCUACGGGAGGCAGCAGUGGGGAAUAUUGGACAAUGGGCGAUAGCCUGAUCCAGCAAUGCCGCGUGAGUGAUGAAGGCCUUAGGGUUGUAAAGCUCUUUUACCCUGGAUGAUAAUGACAGUACCGGGAGAAUAAGCUCCGGCUAACUCCGUGCCAGCAGCCGCAGUAA